AGUGCAUGGCCGCCAUUUUGGAUUCCAAAAUGGUCAUCAUUUUCGAAAUCGGCACUCCCUAAAACCUAUAAAUAGACACCCAUCUCGACUUUUAUGACAAAGUGUUUGGCUACCAUCUGCAUGCAAGACAUUUCUAUUAUUUUUACGUACAAAAAUGGCCCCCUGUCAACUUCCAACCGAGAUUUAAUCGAUAAUUUAUUCGAUUAAUGUUCAGAUUAAUUCAAUUUCAAUCUAUGUUAGGUCGACUAAACUAAUCGUGAUUAAAAUUUGAGGAUUAACUUUUUUUAUUCCAUUAAUUAGUCGAAUAAACAGUUAAUCUAUUAAGUCCCAUCUCUGACCACGUCAUUUUUACACUUUGAGAAUAUCUGAAAACAAAUGAACACAAGGAGCCAUUUUGCAAAUCCAGUAACUUUGUUAUUACUUUUGACAGCGCGUGUCAUGUGUCUACACAGAGUCGACACAAAGUCGAAACAUUUGCGACUACUUUGUGACUGCAAUAUUUCUCAGCCUUAAACCAUAUUUAUACAUCAUAAUUAACAAGUUUCGUAGUAUGUAAAGCGUUAUUUCUGUUAUUUAAGUAUAGUAUACGCAUCGAAGUACUAAAAAUGCAUCAAAUAAUAUAUUUAUGAACACAAGCACUGAGAAGUAAACAAUUUCCUUUCCGGCUAAACUAAAACAAUGUGGUGGCGCGUUGAUUAUAUUACACUUAGUUUAUCAAAUCACUCGAGCAGUUUAAUUCCCCAUAAUAAUUUAAGUCCUAUUGUAAUAUAAAUGCAAACAAUAUAUAAUUACGUCUUGUAAUCCGUUUUAGAGAUGGCGUAUUAAUGUCACUUAUUUUUUUUAACUAUUUUUCCAUCUGACAGUUUCCAUUUGACAGGAACAAAAUGAACGAAUGAACGAAUGAUUUUGGCAUAAAGUAGUCGCAAACCCGAAACAAUGUGUGCACACGGCGACCACACUUUAUGUCACUUUGUGUCAUGUGUCGACCCUUCCCCAUUUCUGGUAACUGUGUCGACACGGCGACGACUCUGCGACUGGAAUUGUGACCGAAACAGACGGUGUCGACACAAGAUGUGUCUACACCGUGUCGUAACGGCGACUGGAAAUGGUUGUAUGGGACCUUCGUUAAACAUAAACAUAAUUGAAAUGCUAAUGGAUAAUGAAUAUAUUAUAAUGUAAUAAAAUAAUUCAAUUAUUGAGGACCACCUAUUUUAAUAGGUAUUUAUGUAUUUUAAUUAAAUAUCUGAACUUUCCCUUGGUUCUCUCCUGGGGCGUGACUACAAAAUUGUGAUCUGAUAACCACAAUAAAGAAAAAAAGCGUUUUUGUUCAUUUUAGGUAUAGUUAAACCUUUGAAGUAAAAUUAAAAUUGCAAGAAAUGUCGGUAGUUUAUCGAUAUGACUUUAUCGACAUGGCUACAGCAAAGUGGGUCGCUUUGUUAAUCGUACACUAAACAAAAAGUGGUCCCACUGACAGCUCGCUUGGAAGGCAUCUGUAUAUAUUCUUAUAUCUAUGAUGCUGCCCCUUUCUAAUAUAUGGCACUAUCCCUUUCGGCUAUUUAGGGUUGUCAAAACUCAAGCCAUUAUCUUUGGCCGUGCACGCAAAGGGACAUCAAGUUGUGUCAACCGUAAUUAUUGCUCGGAGCAAUGCUGAGCCGAGCGGAGCCGAGUUUGCCCGAAGGGAGGAGUUUCACCCUUGCCUAUAAAUUAUUCUGAAGAUACAUCUUGGUAUACCAAGAAAGAUAUUAGAAUUCGUUUCUAACAAUAUCUAAAUUACAUAGACAAUUAUUUUAAGUAAUGACGAAGAGAAUAGAGUGUAUAGAGAAUUAAUGUCAUGGUAAAUGAUGUAGCCACGGUACAUUUACUGCCAUCUUUCGAUAGAAGAUUAAAACUGUUAGAACGCCAUUUGAUUUUGAUCCUUAUUCUUUCACUGAUAAGCGUUUUUUUGUUAAAUAUUGAAAUUAACGCCAUCUACUCGACAGCGGACCAAAGGUUAUGGCGCCAUCGCUCCAAAAGAUUGCACCAUACCUUUGGCCUAUAGUCGAGUAGAUGGCGUUAAUCUCAAUAUUUAACAAAUCAACGCUUAUCAGUGAAAGAAUAAGGAUCAAAGUCGUAUGGCGUUCUAACAGUUUUAAUCUUCUAUCGAAAGAUGGCAAUAAAUUUACUGUGACUACAUAAUUUACUUUGGCAAUCCGCCUCUAUUUCGAAUUCUCUUUGGUAAUGAUCAAAACGGUACAUUAGUACACCUGUAUAUACAAAUUAAUAAUCUCAUAUAUUAUGUCCUUUAAUUAUAAAAAAGUGAGCUUUUUGGCGCGUGUACAUAGCUUGUAUGCGGUCAAUAGACGAGAUAUUUAACCUCCUAAGACCCAGCUAUACAAAUGAAAAAUCCAAUAUUUGCUACUGAAAUUUGAACCUAUAAUGCAGGGAAUAGAGUUGAUUUUGUUUUGUUUGAAAAUUAAACGAUACAAAACAAUUGCAACUCUAUUACUAUUGUAAUAUGGUUUAAAUUUCAUCGAAAUAAUUAAGUACCAUAGGUAGGACCUUGGGCCUUAGGAGGUAGUAAUAAUAAACUACGUGGCUUUGUCAUUCGCCCAAUUAAAUAUUACCACAGAUCCAAAAAGGUUUUACGAUUUGUUAAAUCUAUAGUUUUUUUUAAUAUUUAUGGUACUAUCCUAUUGGCCAAAUGACGGAGUCACGCGGGUUAGUUUUAUACAGACGUAAUGCAUAAUUAUUUUCCAUCGUAUUUUCACGGAAACGUACGAACGUGUCUUGCUAUUUCAGUCAGUCUCGGUACAAAAAGUACUGAAGUUGACUGAACUAGCAUGACAAAUACGAACGUUUCCGAUAAAAUACGAUGGAAAACAAUUAUGCACUACAUCUCUAACAGGUUUUUACCCCUGAACAAUGUAAUAUUUAUGAAAAAACUAAAAAAAUAGCUUAUAGUUCGUAAAAUAACUACAUAAUUCUAGAUUAAGAUUUAUAAACUCAUUAAAACCAAUUUUCAAACUAAAAAUCUCUGAAUAACUUAUCUGUUGGACAUCUAAGUUACUCAUAUACUGAUAUCUUUAGGUAUUUUAAUAAAAGUAAACAAAAUCUACCCUCAAAUGGCUCCUUAAGUCAGUUAAUGGUAGAUGAAAACGUUACAUGAUCAAAUAAUGUAGGUGAAAGUCAGGUCGUUCAGUGACUGAUCCAGGCGGUAUUGUAUUUGGUUGGUUAACCAGUAAAUGUUAUAACUACCCGAAAAUGUACAAAUUGUUUGUUUACUUUUAUUUAAAUACUUAAAGAUACAGAGUAUAAGUGUAAUUGUAAUAUUUUUAGUCGACCUUAUUUUAUUGUUUUUAUGUCUCAGAAUAAAAAAGCGGUGGUGGCCGAGUGGAUAUGACGCCCGACUUUCAAUCCGGAGGUCGCGGGUUCAAAUCCUGGCUCGUACCAAUGAGUUUUUCGGAACUUAUGUACGAAAUAUCAUUUGAUAUUUACCACUAGCUUUUCGGUGAAGGAAAACAUCGUGAGGAAACCUGCACACAUCUGCGAAGAAAUUCAAAGGUGUAUGUGAAGUCCCCAACCCGCAUUGGGCUAGCGUGGGGACUAUAGCCCAAACCCUCUCGUGCUUGAGAGGAGGCCUGUGCCCAGCAGUGGGACAUAUAUAGGCUGAAUUAUUAUAAGUCACAGAUGCUAAAAUGACAGUAGUUAACCAAUUGUCAAUCUAGUAGUCACCAUCCGAUAUAUCGGAACGGUAAAAGUGCUCACAAACAUCCGAGCACACCUCUAUUGUCUCGUUAGUGCGUGUUCAGAUAUUUUGAAGCACCUAAGCCGCUCCGAUAAAUCUGACGGUGACUGUAGAAAUAUAAAUUGGGCUAAUCGAACCCUUAUUUUAGUAUCUAUGAUAAAAAAAACUUCACCUACAAAAGAAUUUGACUAUGAUAAGGCCCUUGAAGGGUGAACUAAAGUACCCACCAACGAUUGGCACUCAUUUAGGUGUCAUUGGGGUUGGCAACUGACAAAGGUUUGCAUAGAUGGCGCCAUAAUAGAUUGCCUAUUUUGCUAUGAGAUUUGGAUGAAAGAGCUGGCAUCCAGGGCAUACAAUUCCAUAAAAAAAAAAACUAAAAUUUGACAGUUCUAUAGAUUGAUAGAGAAGCUAUGCUGGCGCCAUCUGCUUAAAACUUCGAAACGCCAACUCCAUUAUUGGGUGGUUUUAUCCUAGUUUAGUUAUAUAUUAUAUUCCCAUGGUAGCACAAAAUGUUGCUUUUUAAGUUAAUCAUGUAGUAGAUGUUAUUAAUUAAUGAGAAUAAAAUAUUUAUAGAAAAAGUA